rnacentral:lncRNA from 1 species
GCUAGUCUUCUAUUGUUUGCCUUCGGAACAAGAGGUAGAACUCUCCGCUCUACCAGCGCCAUCCCUGCCUGGAUGCUGCCAUGCUUCCUGCCAUGAUGAUAAUGGACUGAACGUCCGAACCCUUCUCCAGGCAUGCCCUUGAACGUGGCUUAUAUCACCUGUCCAUCUGAUACUUCAACACCCAAUAAUUCGCUCUGCAACUGUCCUUGUGGAGGAAAGCAUAGUCUCCGAAGCCUUGUUUUGAGCACCUCUUGGGGAGGGCCUCGGACACUGAGAAGAACAUCCACACAGAACUUGUUACACAGCCAAAGAUAACUUUGAACUGCUGAUCCUGUUGCCUGCAUCUCCUAGUGCUAGGACCACAGGCACACGCUCUGUGCCUGGGCUAUGCAGUGUUAGAAUUGAGCGCAGGGCUUUGAGCAUGACAGGUAAGCACCCUUAAGAACUGAGCUGCAUCCCCAGCCCAAACAAACAUUUUUAUUUCCAUGUUAGAAAUGGAGAAGGCAGUUGUGCUGGCUGGUUUUGUGUGUCUACUUGACACAGCUGGAGUUAUCACAGAGAAAGGAGCUUCAGUUGAGGAAAUGCCUCCAUGAGAUCCAUCUGCAAGGUAUUUUCUCAAUUAGUGAUCAAGUGGGGAGGGACCAGCCCAUUGUGGGUGGUGCCAUCUGUGGGCUGGUAGUCCUGGGUUCUAUAAGAAAGCAGGCUGAGUAAGACAGGGGAAGCAAGCUAGUAAGCAGCAUGCUCUAUAGUCUCUGCAUCAGCUCCUGCCUCCAAGUUCUUGCCCUGUGUGAGUUCCUGUCCUGACUACAAUGUAUAAGUGUAAGCUGAGUAAACCCUUCCCUUCUCCAGCUUGCUUCUUGGUCAUGAUGUUUUGUGCAGGAAUAGAAACCCUGACUAAGACAAAUUGGUACCAGCAUAGUUGGGUAUUCCUAUGACAACCUGACCCUGUUUUGGGGAGGACUGUGGAAGGACUUUGAAACUUUGGGCUAGAAGGGCCAUUGGGAUGUUAAGAGCUCUGUGGGAUGUUCUGUAGGAGCUUGGAAGAUAAUGUUGUGAGUGUGCAAACGAUGGAGGCCUGGCUUCUGAAAUCUUAGAGGGAAGAUUAAAGACUCUUAUCAUAGGCCAUUGCUGUUUUGAUUGUGAAGAUUCUGUGGUUUUGGUUAGCUGGGGCUGAAGAAUCAACUGUGAUCAAUAAGAUACCAGAUCUACUAAAGUGAAACCUUUGCAUUACUGGGACUAUUGGUACUGGUUAGCUGGAGCUAAGAAAUCAGCAGUGAUUAAGAAGAGACCAACAUCAUUGAGGUGAAAUCUGGGAAGUGUUUUCUGAGUGCACAAAGAAGUUGUGUUCAGAGAUAGCCAAGGUUGUACCUUGUGCUGCAGCUAGACUUGGUAAUGUGUAACAAUCACCCAGGUGAUACUGGUUUUGAAGGCAGAAGGGGGUCAUGAAGCAGCUGAGGCUUGGCACUGUGAGAGGCCAUGGAAGGCCAUUGGUGAAGGUGCAGCCUCAGUUGCAAUUGAUGGCCUGGGACUGAAGGGGUCAUGCAAAGGAGCUUGGCACCAUGAAGAGAGCCUAUGAGAGGUUACUGGAAGACAGCAGUGUUUUGGAGAAGCCAGUACCUUGAGAUGACCACCAAGAACAGCAGCAGCACAGGCAGUUGGAGCCUAGAAGACAGGGUGCGUGCUACAAAGGGCAGAGCUGGAGAAGUGACCCAAGCCCUUGGAGGAGCCCAGAAGAUGUGCCCUCAGAUACUGGAAGAGGAUGUCCGAUCUCCUGGAUCUGUAGUCACUGGUAACGCUGCCAUCUGGGUGCUGGAGCCCUCUGCGAGAACAGCAAGUGCUCUGCACCACUGACGUCACUCUCUGCUCACCUCCAGUGGCAAGGCCAGUGAGCUUGCAGGCUUGUCACGGGAUGAAUACUGUGCGGCCCUUCGCCACUCAGACGGGAGCAGAGCCACAGAUGAGUGCAGCCGCCACGCUGUAUUUACACGGGAAGUAUUUACACGGGAAGAUACUGUGCCACCCUCCUACCGCCCAGACAGGAAGUGCUGCCGCCUCCAGCCUCCACCUCGGGACUUACCACUUCUCUUCUUCUACUUGCACUCCCACGGACUGGAACUUAUUGGACGUCUUACUCUCUGCCAUUUUCUCCGGCUCUUCGGCAUCGUCCACCUGAAGGAAUCAUCAAGGAAACAGAGUUGUUUCCAUUGUCUCACGGGAGAAGCAGACAGGCUUUCACCUCUGGGAUAUGACGGGACUGUUCGGUGACUUACAACCUCUUUGAUCCACAUUUGUGCAUCUGAUAGCAGCGAUUACUACAUUCUUUUUAUUAUUUUUUGUUUUUGUUUUUUCUCGAGACAGGAUUUCUCUGUAUUGCCCUGGCUGUCCUAGAACUCACUUUGUAGACCAGGCUGGCCUCGAACUCAGAAAUCCGCCUGCCUCCGGAGUACUGGGAUUAAAGACGUGCGCCACCUC